rnacentral:lncRNA from 1 species
GGUAAAGUAUUGAGAAGAGAGCAUGUUCUCAAUUGGGUGUCUAGUGGAUGCUGCUUGUAGAGAGAAAUCUUUUAAGUAUGAUGGUGUUUUCCUAUUUCUUUUUGGUCUUGGUGCAUCCUCUUCUGGGAUGCUUGGUGCAUUCCCUGUUUCAUAUUGUAUUUCUGGGAUUAUUGGUGUGUCCUCUUCCUGUGAAGGAGGUGUGAUUGUGUAUGUGUUCUCA